GCCAGGUGUGGUGGUGCAUGCCUGUAAUCCCAGCUACUUGGGAGGCUGAGGCAGGAGAAUUGCUUGAGCUCUGGAGGCAGGGGUUACAGUGAGCCGAGAUGGCACCACUGCAUUCCAUCCUGGGCAACAGAGUGAGACUCUGUCUCCA
ensembl:misc_RNA Metazoa_SRP Metazoan signal recognition particle RNA